UACGGAGGGUGCAAGCGUUAUCCGGAUUCACUGGGUUUAAAGGGUGCGUAGGUGGGUUGGUAAGUCCGUGGUGAAAUCUCCGAGCUUAACUCGGAAACUGCCGUGGAUACUAUCAAUCUUGAAUGACUGUGGAGGUAAGCGGAAUAUGUCAUGUAGCGGUGAAAUGCCUAGAUAUGACAUAGAACACCGAUAGCGGAGGCAGCUUGCUACACGAGUCAUUGACACUGAGGCACGGAAAGCGUGGGGAUCAAACAGG
rnacentral:rRNA from 1 species